rnacentral:rRNA from 1 species
CCUACGGGAGGCAGCAGUAGGGAAUCUUCCGCAAUGGACGAAAGUCUGACGGAGCAACGCCGCGUGAACGAUGAAGGCCUUCGGGUCGUAAAGUUCUGUUGUUAGGGAAGAACAAGUGCUAGUUGAAUAAGCUGGCACCUUGACGGUACCUAACCAGAAAGCCACGGCUAACUACGUGCCAGCAGCCGCGGUAAUACGUAGGUGGCAAGCGUUGUCCGGAAUUAUUGGGCGUAAAGCGCGCGCAGGCGGUUUCUUAAGUCUGAUGUGAAAGCCCCCGGCUCAACCGGGGAGGGUCAUUGGAAACUGGGAAACUUGAGUGCAGAAGAGGAAAGUGGAAUUCCAAGUGUAGCGGUGAAAUGCGUAGAGAUUUGGAGGAACACCAGUGGCGAAGGCGACUUUCUGGUCUGUAACUGACGCUGAGGCGCGAAAGCGUGGGGAGCAAACAGGAUUAGAUACCCUGGUAGUCCACGCUGUAAACGAUGAGUGCUAAGUGUUAGAGGGUUUCCGCCCUUUAGUGCUGAAGUUAACGCAUUAAGCACUCCGCCUGGGGAUACGGUCGCAAGACUGAAAACUCAAAAGAUAGUACG